AGAGUUUGAUCCUGGCUCAGAAUGAACGUUGGCGGCGUGGAUUAGGCAUGCAAGUCGUACGCAUAGCUUCGGCUAUGAGUGGCGCAAGGGUGAGUAAUGCGAAGGUAACCAACCCUGGUGUUGGGCAUAGCCGCGGGAAACUGCGGGUAAUUCCCAGCGACGUCACGAGAUGGCAUCAUCUUGUGACCAAAGGUGUGAUUCCGCUCUAGGACGGGCCUUCGUGGUAUUAGGUAGUUGGUGAGGUAACGGCUCACCAAGCCGACGAUGCCUACCGGGUGUGAGAGCAUGACCCGGCACACUGGAACUGAGACACUGUCCAGACACCUACGGGUGGCUGCAGUCGAGAAUCUUCGGCAAUGGGCGAAAGCCUGACCGAGCGACGCCGCGUGAGGGAUUGAAGGCCUUCGGGUUGUAAACCUCUUUCGUAGAGGAGGAAGGGGCCGUGAAGAACGGUCUUUGACCUAUUCUAGGAAGAAGCUUGGGCUAAGUUCGUG
rnacentral:rRNA from 1 species